GCUGUGGAUUGUUUUUGGAAGACGCGUGGAAGGGGAGCUAGGGCAUACCUCUCUCCAAUAUAUUAUAUAUAUAUAUAUAUAGUGAGGGUUGAGCAGGUCAAAAGAGCCACCCAACCUGAAAGGGGAGAUAGGCCAUAGCGCCAUGGAAGAAGAAGGAUGAAAAGAAGGGUGGGGAUAGGAAAGGCUUGAGGAAGCUGUUGGAGUGGGGGAGUGGGAAAAGAAUGGAUCUCUUUGGUUGGUUUAAACUUUCAAAGGGAAGAAAUUUCUUUCCUACUCCACCCAUUCCUGCAAUUUCCUUAGGUUUCUCCCUUUCCCUUUACUCUUCUUGUUAGAAUUUUUGGUUGAAACAGAAGGUGUUGAGGUGCAAUUAAUUGUCUUUCAAAGUGUUGUGUUGGUGAAGAAGAACAAGUGAUUGAAGGCGGUGGAAUUUGUGUUCCUAGUCAUUGCUAGGUUUUGUUGAACUUGAGAUGAAUGGAUGUUGUAUUUUUAUGUAACUAAAUAAUACUUGUAUUCCGCGGCAGCCAAAAAUCAAUGAAUGAGACAAGUUUUGAAUGCUUA